rnacentral:rRNA from 1 species
GGACCCGCACAAGCGGUGGAGCAUGCUCUUUAAUUGGCUGAUAACCCAAGAACCUUACCAGGGCUUGACAUGCAUAAAGUAGUGAACCGAAAGGGGAACGACCGGUAUCCAGUCCGGAGUUUGCACAGGUGUUGCAUGGCUGUCGUCAGUUCGUACCGUGAGGCGUACCCUUAAGUGGGUUAACGAACGCAACCCCUACUGUCAGUUGUAUCACUCUGACGGAACUGCCUCGGUAACGAGGAGGAAGGUGGGGAUGACGUCAAGUCAGUAUUGCUCUUACGCUCUGGGCUAGAAGCAUGCUACAAUGGGGUCGACAGCGCGAAGCGAAGAGGCGACUCGGAGCAAAUCGCUAAACGACCUCUCAGUUCGGAUUGGAGUCUGCAAUUCGACUCCAUGAAGUUGGAAUCGCUAGUAAUCGGCGGUCAGCUAUACGCCGGUGAAUACGUUCUCGGGUCUU